AUGAAAGUACGUUUCAUGCACUUGUCCACUGUCCAAAGGCUUAUGCUGAGGGACACUUGGGAAUUACCUGCGGAGGAGGUGUUCAGGUAUACUGGGAGUGAUUGGUUUCUUAUCCUUCUGAAUCGAUUGAGUCCUAUGAUGCGUGACAGAAUUAUCUUCAUCUUUUGGAGAGCCUGGCAUUUGAGAAAUGAUUUGAUUUUUGGUAAGAGGAAGGAAUCCGUCACAGGCUCUCCUAGUUUUGUGGAUAAUUAUUGGUCGUCGUUUGUUGCUUGCCAUUCCUAUCCAAUGGUGGACUCGAAGAAUAAAGGUAAAGGUACCGCUCCUGGUCUAAGAAUGGCUCCUAAUACUUUGGGAACUCAGGUGGCUUGGCAACCCCUUCCUUCGGAUGAUAUCAAGAUAAAUAUCGACGCAAGCUUUGUGGAGAGCAUUAGCACUGCAAGUGUGGGUGUGGUGGCUAGGGACUCCUCUGGAAAUGUCAUUGUUUCCUCUUGGGAUUUCAUUGGGCGUUGUAAAAGCGCGGAGGAAGCGGAACUCCAGGCUUGCAUUGCUGGUCUCUAUAUAGGUAUCACGCUCCACAAUCCUAUAAUUUUAGAGACUGAUUGUGUGUUUGUUGUUGUGUCUCUUGCAAAGGAAAGUUUUGACAGGUCACAGCUAUUUGAUUUGAAGAAGGAAGCAGUGAGUAUUUCCAAGAUGCUACCUAGGGUCAAAAUUUCAAAGAUUAACCGUUCAGCCAAUGUGGUGGCUCAUCUUAUUGCUAAGUAUAGUUUUGACAAUAGGUCAGACGGUAUUCUUGUUAAUGAUGUUCCGGCCUGUGUGGUGAAUUUUGUAAUGAGUGAUUGUAAUAACUCUGUUGGUUAA
rnacentral:rRNA from 1 species